rnacentral:lncRNA from 1 species
AUGGUUAAGAGGGAAAAGUGUUCUCCACUUCCCCAUCCUCUCUCUGGAGCUCUGCCCUCAGUCUCCCGUUUAUCCUUAACCAGUCCUUCCCAGUCCUUCUGUCCGUGCUUUCUAACGCUGUUGCUGCUUUGCAAACCUUUACAGACCCAUCACCGAGGGCAGUCUCCAUCUCUCUGCGAGGUUACAGAGCCCGUGGCAAACUCACACUUGUGCCAACAAAAGCUGAGUUUGGGUAAGAGUCGUUUUCAUUUCUUUAACUGUUCCCACGACACAAUUUCCAGGUGCAGUCCCUGCCCCAAGCAGCUCACAGUGCUGCCAACACUCCAGCACCUCACAAGGGAGGAGGAAGCGAGGAGAAAAGCCCCGAAGGCCUGUGCUGUCCCCUGCACCGAGAGCUGCAGCUCUGACACGUCAUCGUCACGACUGGACGGCGGAACAAGACCCCCCGUGAGCACCCAUGGGCCAGGGGCUGCACCCAGCACAGGCAGCAGGGACCAGCUCCUGUCCUGCCCGAGGGACACCUGGCACCCCGGGAUCCCAGGUGGGCACGGAGCGAGCAGCGGGCAGGGAAUGGAGUGGGAAGGGAGCAGGGAGCAGGCAGGGAAUGGGCAGGGAGCAGGGAAACAGGGAACAGAUAAGGAGCAGGCAGGGAAUAAAGUGGGAAGGGAGCAGGGAACAGGCUGGGGAAUGGGCAGGGAGAACUUGGGGAACAGGCAGGGAGCAGGCAGAGACGGGCAGGGAGCAGGGAAACACACAGGGAACAGACAAGGAGCAGGCAGGGAAUGGGCAGCAGUGGGCAGAGGGCAGCUUGGUGCUGGCAGUGCCCUAUGGACACUCCGGCUGACACCCCCAGGGAAUAGGGAGCAGGCAGGGAAUAGAGAGCAGGCAGGGAACAGGGAGCAGGCAGGGAAUAGGGAGCAGGCAGGGAAUAGGGAACAGGGAGCAGGCAGGGAACAGGGAGCAGGCAGUGGCAGUGGCAGUGGCAGUAUCAGGGGCAGGAGAAGGGGCAGUGGCAGUGUCAUGGGCAGUAGCAGCAGCAAGGCCAGCCCCGGUCACACAGUCACAGCUGACACCUGA